CUUUCAUGAUGAUUUACUCACCAUCUUUCGACUGAAUGUUUGUGAUGAUAUAUAAUUUGUACUGAGCAUAAUU